rnacentral:rRNA from 1 species
UACGUAGGGACCGAGCGUUGUCCGGAAUCAUUGGGCGUAAAGAGCGUGUAGGCGGCCAACUAAGUCCUGCGUGAAAUCUCGGGGCUCAACCCCGAGCGGUCGUGGGAAACUGGUUGGCUAGAGUGCGGGAGAGGAGAGUGGAAUUCCUGGUGUAGCGGUGAAAUGCGCAGAUAUCAGGAAGAACACCCGUGGCGAAGGCGGCUCUCUGGAACGCAGCUGACGCUGAGACGCGAAAGCGUGGGGAGCAAACAGG